rnacentral:lncRNA from 1 species
UUUACAGGAAUGAUCCAUACAUUAGUGUAAAUUAAACUGAACGGUGAAAAUAUGAAUAUAACUGGAAAAAUGUGUCAAAUAAAGAACUUCACACUACAACUUCGCUCUAGAUAGGAUAUAUAUAUAUAUAUAUGGAGGAUCUAAAGAGGACCUCAUUACUUUAAUAAGAAUUUGAGGAUUUCUACUAUUUUAUAUUAGUAGAUGACUUCUUUUAACAAUCUCAACCGUUGAUCCUCUAGAUUCAUAUGCAAGAAACAUGUCUACAAAAUUUCAAUUAAUUCCAUAAUCAUUUGGUCAUUUAGAUUGAUAUAAACAAUUGUAAGCCGUUAGAUAAAAUUAAAAACGAAUAUUGUGCUACUCAAAUGGUACGUUAAACGUUUUUCAUUUUUGUUAAUUUUUUAUAGGAUUCAUAUGUGGGUAAGUAACUAGGGAAUGAGUGGUUUUAAUUGUUAAAAUACAUGCUAGAACUAAAAACAUCUUUACUUUAAGAGUUUAAGGAGGUCCUCUCUAGAUCCAAACUAUAUAUAUAUAUAUAUAUAUUAAUAUUAGAUUCUUAAUUAAUUUACUUCUCUAAAUUGAGAAUUUUGAGAAUUAACCAUUUGUUUAAGCUUAUUAAUUGAUGAUAAGGCCUGCAUGCGGCUUCCCCCAAAACGUACACCUCACGAACGAAGAUGCAAGUUUUUAAGAGUUCAUACCCGGGCGGGUAGAAGAAAUUGAGAGAGAAAAGAACUCGAAAAGAUAAAACUCAAGUCGGUUAAUAUAUGUAGAGAGUCAGAUCGGAGGAGUUAAAAGGUACUAGCUAUCUAGUAGUUUAUGAAUAAUCAGCUCGGUUAAGUGUUUUGGUAGCGGGCUUACUGGGGUCGAGUUGAGCGCUGACAAGCUCGAGAAGGAAGGUUUUGCCGGCGAAAUCGGUGAGGGUGUCGAGCGGCGCAGUCAAGCUAAGGGUGGAGAGGAGGUUGGCCGCUGUUUCUUGCACCGUAACCACUGCCUUCACUGUAACUGCAGUAUUAUUGUUGUUGUUGUUUUGAUCCAACCCUGCGGUGUAUCCAGUCGUCGUCGCUGCCUUUACUUCACCACUGGAGGCACGGAUGCGAUUAUAUUUUUUGCUCAAGUGCUGCUUUGUGUGGGCGCGUGCGGGAAGAAUAUUGUGGAGGAAGGAAGCAGGACUGCUCAUCAGAAUGGUGGAGCUGCCGGUUUUUGGUGGUAAGAGAGGAGUAGAUCUAGCGGAGGUGGGUGGUUUUUGAAGCAGAGGAUGCAUCAUCAUGAUUGCUUAACCUAGCUAGGCAGCUACAGGGGGCUAGCUAAUUGUCUUGCUCCAACUCUGUGAUGGCUUCAUUCAUUUAUACAUGUGAAAUACCGACUAGCCAUGCCAUGCCAGCAGGUCGUACAUAUAGAUAUUAAUCAUGUUUUACUCGAGGAAUAUGUUAUCCACACAUAUCUGAAGGAAAUUAUGUACGUAGCAAGAAAAUGAAAUAUGAGCUGCAUGUGAGCAAAUAACUUCAUAGUGUUAUUCGAAUAACCUCUAAUAUGUAAGUAUUGACUAGUAUUUGAUCAUCAAUCUCGGUCCAUUGUUUGAUUUGUGGGAUUUGAUCGUCAUCUGGGUUGAAACUCAAUGCUUUGUUU